UCCAAUAGCUUUCUUUCAGAAUCGUGGCCCUCUGCAACCACUUGACACGCAUGAUGAAGAAAGGUCACACUAAAACACAGGACAAACCCAAGAUGGGCUACGUAGGUCGAACGGUGGCCAUGUUCGAAAGGGAGUGCGAGAGCGAUCAAGAGGAGGAGGGGAUGCUGAGGAGACCUCGAACCAGGAAGAGAAGUAGCACUUCCUGAAACUCCCUGCUGCUCCUCCGACCGUCCACAAUAUAAACAUCCCAGCCGCAUGCUGGUUUUGAGGUGAACCUGCGGCGUGUUUGGCGUUUCUAAACGCACACAAGCUGAGUUGUUUUUAGCAAGCGUGUUGAGGUCUGAAUGUGGCUUGUUUGUCUUCAUAGAGAUGCAAUUAUUAUUCAUCAGCAUGUCUGUAAACAUGAUGCAAGAAGUGGCAAAUAUAGAAAGAAAACAUUUGUUCAUGUUGUUUAAAGCCGUGCAUAAAUGUAUUAAUGUAUAUAAUGGGAUAAGGAAGAGUUUACUGGAUAUAUUACAAGUUUGUGCGUAAAGUUUACUUGUAUAAUGUUAAAAUACGUACGUUUUAACGUCACUCGCGCCACUUUGCCUUGAGCCUUCGCUGUGUAAUAUGUGCCACAACAUAUUUGCAUUCCUUUAUUGAAAUGUCUUCAGAUUUUAUUGCCUCUCAAAAGUGCAUGAGUGAUAUAGCCAACUUCAUUAUUCUGUAUGAUAUUUGUUAAUUUUAUGUUUAUUGUUUUAUUGCGCAGAUUUUUGUCUCAAGGUGCAGUCACAUUUACUGUUGUUUGGCGAAAGAUUUUCAGACUUCGCAACAGGUUCAAGCUUCUCAAGCAAAUUAAGUAAGCUGCUUGGUUUGAAAAUGAGCUUUAUAUGGCACUACUAUUGACAGUUCACGAUGGACUUGCGAAAUUUCGCUACUGUGAUCAGGAAUUUUGUGUGCAUGUGAAAGAUUUCCUGCAAUUCACUGCAGUUAUCAACCGAAAACUGCUCGGUUUUAAAGUGAUUUUUAAGUGAAAAAUUUGACUAAUGUGACUGCACCUUUUUAAAUUUGCAUUUGACGAAGCAAGUCAGUGCAAAAUGGGCUGGAUUUGAGAUCCAGUGUUAUACUCAGUGUAUUUGCGCUUAAGUGUAUUAAAAUUAGGUCAUUUAUCAAGCCUGAAAAUGACUUGUAAAGCUCUUAAGAUAUUAAUAAUGUAUUAGAUGCCAUUCAUUUUGAUUUCAAAAAUGUAUGUUUAUUGAAAUCAGGGCAGAUAUAAUGCUACAUCAUUGUGUUUUUUUGGUGCAUUGAAAAGUCCAGCCCUCUGUCAGGGAAGGAAGGACAAGCAGGAACUGUUGGCAGUGCUGUUGGAUUGUGAAAUGAAACUUUGUAUCAUUGGGACAUUAUGGUACUUGACAUGUUUCAGGACUGCGCCACCUAUUGGUCAAACGUUUUAAGAAAAUCACAGCUGCUUCAAUGUAAAUUGUUUGUAAUACAGUGCCUUGAGCCUGAAUGUGAGUGUUAGUAUGCUUCACAUACCUCACCAUCAGAAGAGGUUGUAUUCUGUAUGAAUGUAUUCUGUACAAUGGACUUAUAAAUGAGAGGGCUCAAAAGUUCUCAUUUUAUUUCAUUAAAACAUUGUUAGAAAAAAAAAAUCAGUAAUGUUCUUUCUGCUAAAGUAUUAAACCUGAAUCAAUUUUAAACCAUUUUGCAGUGCAUAUUUAUACAUUACAUUAAAUAUAUUUGUUUAUGUGUAUAAACAGGACUAUGUUCAAUGCAUGUUCAUUUACAAUUACAUCACUCCCUGUGCACCAGUCACAUGAUUGCAGGUGUUCGGGGACAAUACAGUGUUGUUUACCAGUAUAAAUCUGCCAGAUUUAUUCCAGAAGUGGAAAGUAAUCAGAAAAUGUGCCUCAAGAAAAAAAUCCCUAUUUAUUUUAUACUCUUGAUAUGACACUGUACUUGUGUUGUUCACACUUAAAGUGAAAUGAACAAAGUUUACUAAGAAUAAAAAAUGCCCCUUUU